rnacentral:rRNA from 1 species
GACGAGCGCUGGCGGCGUGCUUAACACAUGCAAGUCGAACGGAAAGGCCCUGCUUGCAGGGUACUCGAGUGGCGAACGGGUGAGUAACACGUGGGUGAUCUGCCCUGCACUUCGGGAUAAGCCUGGGAAACUGGGUCUAAUACCGGAUAGGAGCCAUUUUUAGUGUGAUGGUUGGAAAGUUUUUUCGGUGUAGGAUGAGCUCGCGGCCUAUCAGCUUGUUGGUGGGGUAAUGGCCUACCAAGGCGGCGACGGGUAGCCGGCCUGAGAGGGUGGACGGCCACAUUGGGACUGAGAUACGGCCCAGACUCCUACGGGAGGCAGCAGUGGGGAAUAUUGCACAAUGGGCGCAAGCCUGAUGCAGCGACGCCGCGUGGGGGAUGACGGCCUUCGGGUUGUAAACUCCUUUCGCUAGGGACGAAGCUUUUUGUGACGGUACCUAGAUAAGAAGCACCGGCUAACUACGUG